GUGUCAGCCGCCGCGGUAAUACAGAGACUGCGAGCGUUACUCGGAUUCACUGGGCGUAAAGGGUGCGUAGGCGGCUAAAUGUGUCAGAUGUGAAAUCCCGGGGCUCAACUCCGGAACUGCGUCUGAAACUAUUUAGCUAGAGACUCGGCGAGGUAAGCGGAAUUCCAAGUGUAGCAGUGAAAUGCGUAGAUAUUUGGAGGAACACCGAAGGCGAAGGCAGCUUACUGGAAGAGUUCUGACGCUGAGGCACGAAGGCGUGGGGAGCAAAAGGGAUUAGAUACCCCAGUAGUCC
rnacentral:rRNA from 1 species